AAAUUGAAGAGUUUGAUCAUGGCUCAGAUUGAACGCUGGCGGCAGGCCUAACACAUGCAAGUCGAACGGUAACAGGAAGAAGCUUGCUUCUUUGCUGACGAGUGGCGGACGGGUGAGUAAUGUCUGGGAAACUGCCUGAUGGAGGGGGAUAACUACUGGAAACGGUAGCUAAUACCGCAUAACGUCGCAAGACCAAAGAGGGGGACCUUCGGGCCUCUUGCCAUCGGAUGUGCCCAGAUGGGAUUAGCUUGUUGGUGGGGUAACGGCUCACCAAGGCGACGAUCCCUAGCUGGUCUGAGAGGAUGACCAGCCACACUGGAACUGAGACACGGUCCAGACUCCUACGGGAGGCAGCAGUGGGGAAUAUUGCACAAUGGGCGCAAGCCUGAUGCAGCCAUGCCGCGUGUAUGAAGAAGGCCUUCGGGUUGUAAAGUACUUUCAGCGGGGAGGAAGGGAGUAAAGUUAAUACCUUUGCUCAUUGACGUUACCCGCAGAAGAAGCACCGGCUAACUCCGUGCCAGCAGCCGCGGUAAUACGGAGGGUGCAAGCGUUAAUCGGAAUUACUGGGCGUAAAGCGCACGCAGGCGGUUUGUUAAGUCAGAUGUGAAAUCCCCGGGCUCAACCUGGGAACUGCAUCUGAUACUGGCAAGCUUGAGUCUCGUAGAGGGGGGUAGAAUUCCAGGUGUAGCGGUGAAAUGCGUAGAGAUCUGGAGGAAUACCGGUGGCGAAGGCGGCCCCCUGGACGAAGACUGACGCUCAGGUGCGAAAGCGUGGGGAGCAAACAGGAUUAGAUACCCUGGUAGUCCACGCCGUAAACGAUGUCGACUUGGAGGUUGUGCCCUUGAGGCGUGGCUUCCGGAGCUAACGCGUUAAGUCGACCGCCUGGGGAGUACGGCCGCAAGGUUAAAACUCAAAUGAAUUGACGGGGGCCCGCACAAGCGGUGGAGCAUGUGGUUUAAUUCGAUGCAACGCGAAGAACCUUACCUGGUCUUGACAUCCACAGAACCCUGUAGAGAUACGGGGGUGCCUUCGGGAACUGUGAGACAGGUGCUGCAUGGCUGUCGUCAGCUCGUGUUGUGAAAUGUUGGGUUAAGUCCCGCAACGAGCGCAACCCUUAUCCUUUGUUGCCAGCGGUCCGGCCGGGAACUCAAAGGAGACUGCCAGUGAUAAACUGGAGGAAGGUGGGGAUGACGUCAAGUCAUCAUGGCCCUUACGACCAGGGCUACACACGUGCUACAAUGGCGCAUACAAAGAGAAGCGACCUCGCGAGAGCAAGCGGACCUCAUAAAGUGCGUCGUAGUCCGGAUUGGAGUCUGCAACUCGACUCCAUGAAGUCGGAAUCGCUAGUAAUCGUGGAUCAGAAUGCCACGGUGAAUACGUUCCCGGGCCUUGUACACACCGCCCGUCACACCAUGGGAGUGGGUUGCAAAAGAAGUAGGUAGCUUAACCUUCGGGAGGGCGCUUACCACUUUGUGAUUCAUGACUGGGGUGAAGUCGUAACAAGGUAACCGUAGGGGAACCUGCGGUUGGAUCACCUCCUUA
rnacentral:rRNA from 1 species